ACAGUCACACAUUAGAUACCCCUGUAGUCCUGGCCGUAAACGAUGUGGACUUGGUGUUGGAAUGGCUCCGAGCUGCUCCAGUGCCGAAGGGAAGCUGUUAAGUCCACCGCCUGGGAAGUACGGUCGCAAGACUGAAACUUAAAGGAAUUGCGGGGAGCACCACAACGCGUGGAGCCUGCGGUUUAAUUGGAUUCAACGCCGGACGUCUCACCAGGGGCGACAGCGGAAUGAUGGCCAGGUUGAUGACCUUGCUUGACAAGCUG
rnacentral:rRNA from 1 species